CCAGACAGCCAGGAUGUUGGCUUAGAAGCAGCCAUCAUUUAAAGAAAGCGUAAUAGCUCACUGGUCGAGUCGGCCUGCGCGGAAGAUGUAACGGGGCUAAACCAUGCACCGAAGCUGCGGCAGCGACGCUGUGUGUUGUUGGGUAGGGGAGCGUUCUGUAAGCCUGCGAAGGUGUGCUGUGAGGCAUGCUGGAGGUAUCAGAAGUGCGAAUGCUGACAUAAGUAACGAUAAAGCGGGUGAAAAGCCCGCUCGCCGGAAGACCAAGGGUUCCUGUCCAACGUUAAUCGGGGCAGGGUGAGUCGACCCCUAAGG
rnacentral:rRNA from 1 species